rnacentral:rRNA from 1 species
AUACGGAGGAUCCGAGCGUUAUCCGGAUUUAUUGGGUUUAAAGGGUGCGCAGGCGGCCAUUUAAGUCAGCGGUGAAAGUUUGUCGCUCAACGAUAAAAUUGCCGUUGAUACUGGUUUACUUGAGUAUAGUUGAAGUAGGCGGAAUGCGUGGUGUAGCGGUGAAAUGCAUAGAUAUCACGCAGAACUCCGAUUGCGAAGGCAGCUUACUAAGUUAUAACUGACUCUGAAGCACGAAAGCGUGGGUAUCAAACAGGAUUAGAUACCCUGGUAGUCCACGCAGUAAACGAUGAUUACUAGCUUUUUGCGAUAUACAGUAUGUGGCACAGCGAAAGCGUUAAGUAAUCCACCUGGGGAGUACGCCGGCAACGGUGAAACUCAAAGGAAUUGACGUGG